GUUAAAUCAACAACUUUGAGAGUACGUUAAGUAUUCUCAUCUCAUGCUAAAUCCUCGUCUCUGUUUCUGACCAGUUAAUAUUGAUCUUUGUAUUAUUUAUCUAUUUAGUUAAAUAGUAAACACUUACAAUAUAGUCUUUAUUAUGUUAUGCCUAAAGUGUUUGUUUUAUGCAAUGUAAGUACAGAAAUACGAUUGUUACUGACUAUGAGUAGUUUUUCAGGUCACUGCAUGAGAGAUCAGGGUGAGGGCGAAUUGUUUCAGGCCGAUGAGAAAGUCAAACAACAUAAACUUAGUGUAUAUGAAAACACAAAAGACAGCUAAAAUGCAUUUUAAGCAGACGUUUUUGUGGGUUCUACAUCUGUGCAUAUACAGGCUAAAUCUGUUCAUAAGUGCUUCAGUUUCAUGACAGUAGCCUAGUAAAUAGAGUUUACAUGUGUCAUAUUUAGAAUCAGUUUACAUAUAACAUUGAUUCUUUAUUCUUGAUAUUGUUUAAUGUCAUUUAUUCACAGAUUGUAUUAAAGGACUCUCGUCAUGUAAUACUGUCACAGAGCAGUGGUUCUUGUGUUGCUGGGAGAGCACAUUGUUGCACUACUCAGAACUUGGCAUCAGUGAAGUUCACAGCUGUACUGAAACGGUUGAGAGCUGACACAGACCUAGAACAAUGAGGUUCUGUCUGCAAGACCCAAAGAAAUGAGCUUGCUGAUGUAUUAAGGAGUACCUUUUAAAAGAGCGUCACCUGUAAGCUGCCUGACCUCACAGUCCUCCAAGUAGCAGAGGCAUUUAAGGCCUUUGCCAGUGCUGUAGCCCCUUCGGUCACCACUAUCAGGAUGUCACAUGUCAAUUCUUUGGUGGAUUUUGGCUUUGGCAGAGUUUAGUAUGGAAGUGUGCUGUCAUACCAGCAGCAACAACACGCAACCUUAAUCGCAAUCAAGAUGCCCCAUAACUACAACCUCUGCAACUACUUGGCUACAGCCUUGACACAUCUGUUUGCUUGUUAGUUAUUUAUAUUUACAUGUUUACAUUUCUGAAGUGUAGGCAGUUAUUUACAGUAUAUUUAAAUACAUUACUGCAUGGUAAAUGUUCAAAGCCACAUGUUUACAUUCCUGCAGUGCAUGCAACACUGAAUAAAAGUUACUUACAGUAUAUUUACAUUCA